CAAAAACAUAGCCUUUAGCUAUCUAAAAGUAUUAAAGGUGACGCCUGCCCAGUGACAUGUUAAACGGCCGCGGGAUCCUCCACCGUGCAAAGGUAGCAUAAUCAUUUGUCUCCUAAAUAGAGACUAGUAUGAAUGGCCAAAUGAAGAUUUACCUGUCUCUUGUAGCCGAUCUAUGAAACUGAUCUACCAGUACAAAAGCUGGUAUAAUCACACAAGACGAAAAGACCCUGUGGAACUUUUAAACUGCAACCAACACUAUGGUUAUGCCGCUUUUAGUUGGGGCAACUUUGGAAAAAAACAUAACUUCCAAUCAAGGAGUAUUAAUCCACACAGGCCCACACGCCCAUGCUCCUCCCUCCUUACCGACCCAGUAUAACUGAUUAAAGAAACAAGCUACCCCAGGGAUAACAGCGCCAUCCCCUCUUAGAGUCCAAAUCGACGAGCGGGGCUUACGACCUCGAUGUUGGAUCAGGGCCUCCCAGCAGUGCAGCAGCUGCUAACGGUUUGUUUGUUCAACAAUUAAUGCCCUACGUGAUCUGA
rnacentral:rRNA from 1 species